AACCUGCAAAAAAUGGUAAGCAAUGCUAACAUACCUCCACUUUCUUCAAGAUUUAUCAAUACGUGGGUGCCCAAGUAUCGUAUCCUUUCCGGAAGAGGGUUCCCCACCAACCUUAGAGAGCUUAGUUUGUCAGGGGCGAAUAUCUGUGGGCAAGUAUUUGAGUUUGGACUGCACAAACUCACGUCGCUUACAUUUCUCUGGAUUGGUUAUGGAAUUAUGGAUUCGUUUCCAGAAGAGGAAGAUGGGAAGACGAUGUUGAUGUUGCCUACAUCUCUCACUACCCUGAGGUUUUUUGAAAUUCUAAAUUUGAAAUUCCUCUCCUGGAAGUUCUUUCAAAACCUCUCUGCACUUGAAGAACUUUCCAUCUUUUUGUGCCCUAAACUCGCGUCUCUCUCAGAGAAGUAUUUUCCUCCCUCGCUUCAGCAAUUUCAUUUUUAUGAAUGUCCUGUGCUGAAACAAAACUGCGAGAAAGACAAAGGGAUAAUGUGGUCAAAGAUUACAUAUCAAGUUGAGGAACAAUGAUCAAUGGAGAUAUGCACAUAAUGGCAGGAUGGCUUUUUAAUAUGAUGCCUGAGCAGCAUGUCAUUUUAACCAAAGAUCAUGCCUUGCACAAAUGAUCAAAGCAUUCUCACCUGUGCUGCACAUGGCAGAUUCAGGAAUGUGACCAUAUGGUCAUGAUCUGUCAAGGUGUGCAAUUGGAUACAAUUUGGCGAUAGUCAGCAGUGGCAAGUGUUGAUCUUUGGUGGAGGUGGUGGGUUUGGAGCGGGUGAGGUGCACGCUUUGUUAUAAAAUUUGUGAAGCAUUAUCCUAUGUACUUGCGAAAGGUGUGGUAGCUGCACUUGUACUUACGAGUAUGUCUGGGGUUUACAGCCUUUGUUGUGGAUUAAAAACAUGAAGCUAUUAACAUAUUGUUGUGCUGUUGGUGAAUUCCCACUAAGGCUCAUCACCUGGAGGAGCAGCAGCAAUAAUUGUAUAAAACAUAUUUACACAAUUGGUACCACCCGUGUGGAAUGCAUAUUCAAGCUACAGGCUGUGGGUGAUUUAGGCUUUCAGAAACAAAGCUACCACCAAAGACAGUGAGUGAGAUCAAGGCUGUGACAGUGCUUGAUUAUAGUAAAAAAAUGGAACAGCUUUGUAGGGAGGCUUGCUUGUUAAAGAAGGACCGAGUUAUCAAGCUGAGGGAAGUACUUUGGAUGUGGCAAGUUAGAGGCAGACAAGGAUGGCAAGUCCUGGUUAUGCAGGAUGUGAUAAGAGAUGAAGUUGGAAAGGGUAAUGUUGUUACCGCUGGAUUCUUUAGCUGGGAAAAAAAACUCCAAAUCCACUGCCUUCCUCCUCCUUUUGAGACAAGCUCUGUGGCCUUGAAGCAUAUGGGAAUUCUAAGUGUUUUUGUGCUCUCAACCGGCAUAUAGCUUGAGAAACUUUUUGAAAACAGACAAAAUCAGGACUGGGUGAGUGCCGGUGUUAUUGGUGACCUUCAAAGUCUAUUCACCAGUGUAAGAAGUGUUGGCUCUAAACUCUAAUAGGAUUGAUCCCAGAAUUCUUUGUCAAGUCAGGCACCAUGCUAAGAUGACAUCAAACUGCUAUAUGACUAUCUUUGGGUCCUCUGCUGGUAGGUAGGGGCUCUAUUUUGGUCUUGUCUAUAUCGAACCUUCUGCUGUGUUUGUGUCUUGUCUCCUUUGUAUCUAACUUAUGUUUUGUUUUGUGCCUAAUCAAAGUUACUAGUUUACACUAUAUACUAAGGGAUGUGGUUGACGUGCAACCAGUUUGGACAAUUUGUUGGAAGAUUGUUUUUUGAAACCUUAGUUUCAGGUUCAGUAGUCAAAUAAUCUUGGCUUACAAAAUCAUUCAGACAGCAUUACACAUUGUGCUUGAAAUCGCAGCUUCUCGAUCAACCACUAUGAUUAUAUAUCAUGUUGUGGAAGACGGUGAUUAGUGGAUAUGCACAAAAUGACAGGAUAGCUUUUUAAUAAGAUGCCUGAGCAGAAUGUCAUUUCUCCCAAAGAUCAUGCUUUCGAGGAUAGUCAAGCAUUAUCACCUGUGCUACAGAAGGGCAGGGAUUUCACAAUGGAAACAUGAAAGGAGGCCUAGAAGGAGAAGGGGGGUUGGACCGUAAUUCACAAAUAUUCUUCCUAGUUUGUACCUGCUCUAUAUGUAAAGCUGAUUCCACUUCAG